UGGUAGAUGUACGUAUUCUGAACCUGAUUUAUGGUGAACGCUAAUAGGUGCUUACUUACAUACUAGUUCGUGCGUGUAAUCAUCAUGAAAUCGAUGCAUUAAUUUCGAAAGAAAAUUAUAACAAGCCAUCAAUCAAUUGUAUAACGUAAGCUUUAAUCCACCUCGUUAAAACUGCACACAAAGUAAUAAAUAGUGAUUUACAUAUAUAGGUCGCUGUAAUCAUGACUGUCGCGUUGCUUCACUGACAAAUUCACUAGUUGCAUUUAUCGUAUAUAAUUAUACCAAUGCAUGUUAGGUAUUGAAACAUCCGUUCCAGAUUAUGCAAGGUAAUAAAAGUGAAGAAAAUUCAAUUUUCAGCUCAUUCACGCGUUAUAAUAGACGAGUUAAGUUGUCUUAGUAGCUGACCGAUAUAGGAUGUGUUUAAAGGUAUAUACCUAAGCAAAGCGAACGAAAAUUGCACUGUGAAAAUGGAACAAGUUUUAAUUUUUCUACAUACAUCCAUAUAGAUAGGUACUGGUGUUAUAUUGCUCACUCGGCCUAAUAUUAAAUUGUUCUUGGGGAGUUGAAGAAUCUACGCCAAAGAAGGGAGCACAUCUCGAAGCAGUUAUUGAGCCGUCCGAUAAUUCCUCCGAAGUUGACUUGAACGAAGACUCCUCCAUCUGGCAGUUCUGGCGGCCUUGGAAAUUAUGGAACUGGGGUCGCAAUUUGAUGAACGAAGAAUAUCAUGAAAAUGCGAAGAGCAGUUAUGGAUACGGCAGACACGGGAUGUUCCAUCGAGACCAAAAAAGAUCUAAGAUUAAAAACAAAAUAAAAUUCCUUGUUAAAAUACACCAAUUUCAAACUUAA